AAACCCAGGGUGGCUUAAAUUUUUAGAUAACCUUUCUAUAGCAGAGUAAUAGGAUGAAAUGUGGCAGCAUGGCUUUACCUUUGUAACACAGCGUGCCAGCAAGAAACAUGGGACAAAGUGCAGCUAUUCCACAUAUGACAAACCCAGCAGAAGAUCAGUACAAAUGUCAGUCUUUACAGAAUCCAAAGUUGCCCCCACAUGAAAUACUGUUUCAACUUAAUCACAUUUCAUACAAAAGCCAGAGUGCUGACAUCCAUGCUGUCUUGCAAAAAUGUAGAAGAAUCCCAUCUCAUCUUGCAGCAGUUGGCUGAAAAUUGUCAUCUUUCACUGACCAUCUCUGCACUGUGGUUCAAAGAGAAGACAGGGAGAGGAGCAGCUGGUCCAGAUGAGUGUCCUGAGAGCAACCCAGCCUUCGGGGAGCAGUGCUGCCUCACCCGCACUGGUGCUGCCCACAUGCAAGGCCUGCAGCGGGGUGGGCACCCCAGUUGUGCCCUGAUGCUUUUGAGCUAGAACAGCACUAUUUCAUUUGAAAUAUUCAGCACUGCUGCCUUGCAUUUAAUAACCUACAAACAGAGCAAAGAAAACGGGAAUGGCAUUUUCAAGUCAUCACACAGACAGUUUCUUCCAUUUCUGCAUGUGAAACUCCUGUUCAUAUUUGUGGAGAAGAGAGGGAAACUACAGAGAAAAAACCCAAAUGAAACAACAAAAAAGUCAACACCAAAGUGUAUUCUACCAGCCAUGUGAGUUACUGCUGCAGGAGAGGGCAUGUGUAGAAACACGCCCUUACAUGGGACACAAGGACUAUGCUGCUUGGUUACAUAAAUGUCACUGGAACUCCCAUGUUAUUCCAAGUGAUUUAUUAACCUCAGCAGAUUCCAGUGAAAUGUGUGUCAGAGGCUGAAGACAAAGAACAUGCUGGAGUUGUUCGUGGCUGGUGAGCUUGCACAGAGAAGAAGUUAGAAGCAGUGGGCACUGUACAAGGUCUCCGAAAAUAUCACAGCCAAACAACACAAACAAGAAAUAAAAAAGCACAUCUUACACUACUUGAAGUAAAAAUGCAGCAAAAGGGAAUGAAUAUGAAUCAGACAUUUGAUUAUUUGGCUUUAGGAUUGUCAGCAGUAGAUACUGCUCCAGUACACAAAGCCACCUUCUUGAAAGAGAGACAAUUAAGGUACACAUUUCAAAGAUGGGCCAAAGUUUAUUCAGCUCUAGAUGUGGAAGUCACACUGAAGUCCAUCUCCGCUUUUCAGAAUAAUUUACAAUGAGAAGAAUCUGUGCUUACUCAUGGCUUAUUUUAAAACCCUCCUGCAGAAUAAAUGGACACUUUACAAUAAUAUGAGCCAACACCAAUAAUGGUGCAGUGAACCUGUGAUCUUCAGCGUGAUCUACAGCACAGCCUGAGCAAUAAAAAGUUCUGUUUAAAUCAAAGAAACACUGUAACUCUUCAAAUUUCCCUGACCUUAUCCUCAAGCUUUAAGGACUUCAUGAAUGCCAUAUCCUGCACUCCUGCAGCUGGCAGUCACAUUGCCCCACGACUGCCCAUGUGCCUUGUCAUGCAUGCAGGAUUUUAGAAUAACAAUCAGUGUGGAUCCCCUUGGCCAGCUACACUCUUGUGCAGCAUGCCAGUGUGCACUGCAAAACCCACCAUCACUGUCAACUUUGUGACCAAAAGCCUCUGAGGUGGGGCUGUUCAGAGAGGCUCUUUUCCACUCAGAUGCUCUUCUGCAGAGACAUGUCUAGAAUCAAAUGCCACUGCUCCAUAAGCAAACAUAGGGUCAGCGAGCAUACAUCAUGACAUGGGACAUGUGGAAGCCAAAGAAAAGGCAAAUUGACCUGAAUCCAGGAUAUGGACAAGAUGGGAAGUACAGUAACCUGCUGCAGUACAGUGUUUGGGAAAUUGUCACAACAUGGAUGUGGAUGAACACUGCUGGGGUCCCUGACUUCAGAAAUCUGAACCAAGAGGAUUGAGACUCAGUGGGAAUGGAACAAAACAACAGGAUUACUUAUGACAUUUUACUGUGACCUCCUCACUGCAUGCAACUAAAAGAAAGUUUGCCCAUUUCAGCCAGAAGGUUUGACUUUCUGCCAUAUCCCCUUCCUAUUUUCAGUUUCUUUCUUUUCAGGUUCCUUGAGCCAUACUUUCUUCACACAGGUUUAAAGAUCUCUGGAUGUAUUCUGCUGCCAGUUGAGCAAUAGUUCUGGCAGUACCUGAAACUUUACAAAGCUUAGUGAUGAAAGUCUGAGCUUUCCUAAGCAAAUUGCAAGCACAGCAAUGACGCCUGGUGGUGAAACACAGGGAUCCUGUUUUUCUAGAGCUUCUGUGCAGAUUAUCUUUUUAAUAUUCUGUGCUUCAACAUCAUGGUGGACUGGGAACAAAUCACAUUGGAGGUCUCUAAGUCUCAGUUAGACAAGGCUGUCAGAGCUGAUCUUACCUGAGGACAGCAGGGUGAAGCAGAGAACUUCCCAGUGUGUUUUCCUACAGUUUCAUUAACUUCGUACAGCUAAAGCUGGCUCAAAGAAAGAUCUUUCUUUAAGAAGUGCCCUAAAGCACUGCAUGUAAAUAUUUAUUUCUGUUAUCAGAAACAAAUUCCUUGUAAUUUCUUAUUAUAAAACGGUACAGUGAUUUAUCUCUGCUUCCAGUGUAAUACAUUAGUGGGCAUGCCUGAAAUAUGCAAACGGCCAUCUUGAAAAUAUUGAGAACAACAGCCAGGUGUGUAGAUUGAAAAUUAAGAAUAAAUGUGUUUUCUUAAGUAGCAUGCCACAAGCUAGAACACAAGAGUACCAAACAGGGCUGAAACUUGUAUACAAUAUGUAAAUCCAAAAUGAGAAACAGUUAAAAGUCCUCAUCCUCACAGUGAACAAUUUCUUCCUAAUAUCUAAUCUAAAUCCAUCCUCUACCAGUUAAAAGCCAUUCCCCCUUGUCCUACCACUAGCUGUCCUUAUAAAAAGUCUCUCUACAGCUUUCCUGUGGGUCCCCUUCAGGUAAUGGAAGGUGCUGGAAGGUCUCCCCAGAGCCUUCUCUUCUCCUGGGCUGAACAGCCCCAGCUCUCCCAGCCUGUCUGCACAGGAGAGGUGCUCCAGCACUCUGAGCAUCUUCAUGGCCUGGACUUGCUCAAACAGGUGCAUGGGCUUCACAUGUCGUGAGCCCCAGCUCUGGACGCAGCAGGCCAGGUGGGCUCUCAUCAGAGCAGGAGGAUCACCUCCCUUGAGUUGCUGGCCACGUUUCUUGUGAUGGGGGACAGGAAGACCAGGUGGGUGAGACAAGCAAUGUGUAUGAACAGGCAGCAGCCACAGAGCUGUUGUGACACUGUGCAUUUGACAUGAGCAGCCUUUGAACAGCAACACGCCAGACCAUGCUUUCCUUCUGUUUCUCCAUGGACAAGUAAGCUUCAGGUUUAAACAGCUGAAUUUAAAAACACCUGUAUGUGUGCAGGUGUGAGUAUGUAAUUUCCCUGGUAAAGUUGUAAGGCUAUGUUUUAAGUUGCACAACAAUUCUGUAAUAUGCUUUGGAACACUUUCAGCACAUCUCUGAAAGUCCCCAGUUUGUCUGAACCAUCUGCUACUAUACUCUCAAGCAUGAGUAAAUAAGGCACAUGUGUGAAAUGGUCUUAAGGAAACCUUGGACAGACUGAGUCUUAGAUCAGGUUUAAUAGGUGCUACGUGCAUUAACAUGCAGAACCUCAGCUAUAAAGGUGCAGUUCCUUGCAAUUUUAUGCAUUUCAAUUAGAGAAUCAGUGUAAUUGCUGUGUACAGUGUAAUACAUGCUGGGUACACUUAUGCUGCCUUUUUUGUUACAGAAAUAAAACCAGCAAUGCUUUUAUGAAAAGGCUGAUCUAGUUUCUGCAACAAAGAAGAAAAGGUUUUGUAAAGCCUAAGAAAAGCCCUGUGGAACUUCAGUAAGAGACUACAAUGCAUCCUUUUAACAGAAGAAACUUUUCUGUUGGCCUUUUAGAAAGUAUAGAGCGAAGUGUACUGUGUGUAAGUCAUAACCAGUUGGUUGCCAAGCUCUUACAGACCAUAGGGACCCACAGGAAUCCCACCUGCAGUGUCCACCUGAAAGCAGUAACAACGAAGGGAGGAAGAAAAAUGUGCACAAAGCAUACUUGAAUCAGCCCUCUGACUGCAGCUCAGCAGAGAGGAACACUUAGGAUGCCACGUCCUCUUGCUCUUCAGGCAUGAGAAACCUGUGUGAGAGCUGCACUUAUUCAGACACUGCAGCUACCUGGUCACUCCCUGGGGAAGAAAGGGAUAGGCAGCCUCACAGGGCUGAAGCAAAGCCUCACUUCCAAGGUGUCCACUUCACUACUUCGUCAAAGCAACAAAGUCAGUUGAUGAGUCAGAAUCAGAACAUCCAGCCAAGACUAAGAUUAUGACUUUUUUUAAAGGAAAAAUAUUUUAUAGACAAUACAAUACAAUACAUACAGGAUCAUGCCAUUCAGGAAUACUGAAUCUGAGUGACCGGUAAGGAAGAGUUCCUCCCUCCUGGUGUUGUUUUGAGGCUGUGUGAUAAAUUUUGCUGAGAAUAUGAAGAAAUAAUCAAAAGUCACCUCAGUGUGCACCAUGUGCCAGACAAGACACAUGAUUUGCACCUGUGAUAACACCCAUCCCUCUCAAACUCAAGUAUAAAGCACUGGCUUAACCCCACAUUUAUACUUCACCUACUGACCCCAGCUAACUAAACACAAUAUAUGAAUCAGGCAGUUCAGUUGCUUGUGAUUGUCUCUUGAGAUGCUCAGGAAAAUCAGAAUUUUUGUUUUGAGUGUUCAUGCGCACUUUGCAGCAGGCACUGGUGGUACAGGUUUUGGAGCCAAAGGAACACUUCUCAUUCACUGCUUUUAAGAAAGCUUUUGAACAGAAAUGGAGACAAGAAUGUAGACUUUAAAAUAGUAACUACUAAUGCUCUUGGCAUUUACACCCAACUUGGUAUGUAUAAAAAAUAAUAUUA